rnacentral:rRNA from 1 species
UUAGGGAGUUUAGCUCAGCUGGGAGAGCAUCUGCCUUACAAGCAGAGGGUCAGCGGUUCGAUCCCGUUAACUCCCAAAGGUCCCGUAGUGUAGCGGUUAUCACGUCGCCCUGUCACGGCGAAGAUCGCGGGUUCGAUUCCCGUCGGGACCGUUUAAGGUAACGCAAGUUAUUUUAGACUCGUUAGCUCAGUUGGUAGAGCAAUUGACUUUUAAUCAAUGGGUCACUGGUUCGAGCCCAGUACGGGUCAUAUAUGCGGGUUUGGCGGAAUUGGCAGACGCACCAGAUUUAGGAUCUGGCGCUUAACGGCGUGGGGGUUCAAGUCCCUUAACCCGCAUUAAGAUAUAACAAAUGAGCCGGCUUAGCUCAGUUGGUAGAGCAUCUGAUUUGUAAUCAGAGGGUCGCGUGUUCAAGUCAUGUAGCCGGCAUUUUUAGAUAGAAGAAAACAGUGCGAACGUAGUUCAGUGGUAGAACACCACCUUGCCAAGGUGGGGGUCGCGGGUUCGAAUCCCGUCGUUCGCUUAGAGAGGCCGGGGUGGCGGAACUGGCAGACGCACAGGACUUAAAAUCCUGCGAUUGGUAACGAUCGUACCGGUUCGAUUCCGGUCCUCGGCAUAAUAUGGAGCACCCUUAGCUCAACUGGAUAGAGUACCUGACUACGAAUCAGGCGGUUAGAGGUUCGACUCCUCUAGGGUGCAUUUUUCUAUUUAACUCGGGAAGUAGCUCAGCUUGGUAGAGUACUUGGUUUGGGACCAAGGUGUCGCAGGUUCGAAUCCUGUCUUCCCGAUUCAUGGCGGUGUAGCUCAGCUGGCUAGAGCGUCCGGUUCAUACCCGGGAGGUCGGGGGUUCGAUCCCCUUCGCCGCUAUAAUGAUCUUGUCGGACCUUUAGCUCAGCUGGUUAGAGCUCUCGGCUCAUAACCGAGUGGUCGUAGGUUCAAGUCCUACAAGGUCCAUUUGAAUAUUGGAGGAUUACCCAAGUCCGGCUGAAGGGAACGGUCUUGAAAACCGUCAGGCGUGUAAAAGCGUGCGUGGGUUCGAAUCCCACAUCCUCCUUUUAUAUUAUUAACGCGGGAUGGAGCAGCUCGGUAGCUCGUCGGGCUCAUAACCCGAAGGUCGUAGGUUCAAAUCCUGCUCCCGCAAUAAGGCUCGGUAGCUCAGUUGGUAGAGCAAUGGAUUGAAGCUCCAUGUGUCGGCGGUUCGAUUCCGUCUCGCGCCAUUUNGAGUCUGUCUAAGCAGUGAGGUGUGAAUUGAGUCAAAUGCUUAAUUCUAUAACAUUGAGCUGUGAUGGGGAGCGAAGUUUAGUAGCGAAGUUAGUGACGUCACACUGCCAAGAAAAGCUUCUAGCGUUUAAACAUACUCUACCCGUACCGCAAACCGACACAGGUAGUCGAGGCGAGUAGCCUCAGGUGAGCGAGAGAACUCUCGUUAAGGAACUCGGCAAAAUGACCCCGUAACUUCGGGAGAAGGGGUGCUGACUUAAAGUCAGCCGCAGUGAAUAGGCCCAAGCAACUGUUUAUCAAAAACACAGCUCUCUGCUAAAUCGUAAGAUGAUGUAUAGGGGGUGACGCCUGCCCGGUGCUGGAAGGUUAAGAGGAGUGCUUAGCGUAAGCGAAGGUAUGAAUUGAAGCCCCAGUAAACGGCGGCCGUAACUAUAACGGUCCUAAGGUAGCGAAAUUCCUUGUCGGGUAAGUUCCGACCCGCACGAAAGGCGUAAUGAUUUGGGCACUGUCUCAACGAGAGACUCGGUGAAAUUUUAGUACCUGUGAAGAUGCAGGUUACCCGCGACAGGACGGAAAGACCCCAUGGAGCUUUACUGCAGUUUGAUAUUGAGUGUCUGUACCACAUGUACAGGAUAGGUAGGAGUCUAAGAGAUCGGGACGCCAGUUUCGAAGGAGACGCUGUUGGGAUACUACCCUUGUGUUAUGGCCACUCUAACCCAGAUAGGUGAUCCCUAUCGGAGACAGUGUCUGACGGGCAGUUUGACUGGGGCGGUCGCCUCCUAAAAGGUAACGGAGGCGCCCAAAGGUUCCCUCAGAAUGGUUGGAAAUCAUUCGCAGAGUGUAAAGGUAUAAGGGAGCUUGACUGCGAGAGCUACAACUCGAGCAGGGACGAAAGUCGGGCUUAGUGAUCCGGUGGUUCCGUAUGGAAGGGCCAUCGCUCAACGGAUAAAAGCUACCCUGGGGAUAACAGGCUUAUCUCCCCCAAGAGUUCACAUCGACGGGGAGGUUUGGCACCUCGAUGUCGGCUCGUCGCAUCCUGGGGCUGUAGUCGGUCCCAAGGGUUGGGCUGUUCGCCCAUUAAAGCGGCACGCGAGCUGGGUUCAGAACGUCGUGAGACAGUUCGGUCCCUAUCCGUCGCGGGCGUAGGAAAUUUGAGAGGAUCUGCUCCUAGUACGAGAGGACCAGAGUGGACUUACCGCUGGUGUACCAGUUGUCUUGCCAAAGGCAUCGCUGGGUAGCUAUGUAGGGAAGGGAUAAACGCUGAAAGCAUCUAAGUGUGAAACCCACCUCAAGAUGAGAUUUCCCAUGAUUAUAUAUCAGUAAGAGCCCUGAGAGAUGAUCAGGUAGAUAGGUUAGAAGUGGAAGUGUGGCGACACAUGUAGCGGACUAAUACUAAUAGCUCGAGGACUUAUCCAA